CUUUUUGCUGUCUUGUAGGAAGUGCCCACGUACCAUUUAUUUGAAUGGUGGCAAAUACAUGGUUCGUGGAUAGCCAUUUUUUAGCUAAUUAUACAUUUUAAAGAGUUGUAAAUUGAAUAAGUGGGUUCCAUUGAGUAUGUUGAGUGUUAUACAGGGUGUUUUAUUGAUAAAAACAUAACUGAAAAACAAAUAAUAAAAACAGGGAACAUGACUUUGAUUAACCAAAAUAAUAAACUUUAAAACACAACUGCAAAAAAAAUACAUAAAAAAAAAAUUUAAACAAAAAGAACAUGAUUAACAGAAACAAUACAUCUUGUUAACUAUAAAAAACACAACUGCAAAACAAAUAAAAAAGGAACAUGAACACAGGACUGUAUUCACAGGAGUUCUUAUCUCGCCAUUAACCACAGAUGCUUAAUCCCUAACCCUAACAUCGAUCAAGAUUGGUGGGCAUUCCACAUAGUGGAUCAGAAUAAAAUCAGUCUGAUAUGUGGAGAGCAUGAAGACAGACACGUGCUGUCUUCAUGCUCUCUUCACCAGCGGGUGACUUGGCAACAUACUCCCGACUCAGGGAGUGACAAAAAAUAACAAUACAGGUCUCUUUCGAGGCCCUGUAAUUGGAAGGCGCGAUAAACAAAAAAACAACUGCAAAACAAAAUUAAAAAAGGAAUAUGAUUAACACAAACAAUACAACUUGUUAACUAUAAAAAAAAAACACAACUGCAAAACAAAUAUAAAAAAGGAACAUGAACACAGGACUAUAUAUCACACCAUCCUUUAACCACAGAUGCUUGAUCGAUGUUAGGGUUAGGGAUCCAGAUAGGAUGGCGUUUUACAUAGUGGAUCAGAAUAAAAUCAGUCUGAUAUGUGGAGAGCAUGAAGACAGAAACGUGCUGACAGACACGUGCUGUCUUCAUGCUCUCUUCACCAGUGGGUGACAUGGCAACUUACUCCCGACUCAGGGAGUGACAAAAAAUAACAAUACAGGUCUCUUUCGAGGCCCUGUGAUUGGAAGGAGCGAUUUAAAAAAAAUUAAAUUAAAUAAAAAAAAACUGCAAAACAAAAUUAAAAACAAAGAACAUGACUUUAACACAAACAUUGUAAACUAUAAAAACAACUGCAAAACUAAAUUAAAAAACAAGGAAGAUGAUUAACACAAACAAUACAAC